rnacentral:pre_miRNA from 1 species
AGAAUAUAAAAAUCCGUCUCUUAACUUUUAAUUAAAAAAACUAAAAACCGUCUCUUAAAACUCUUAUUUAAGAACCGGUUCUUAGCUUUUUUAGUUAAAAGUUAAGAGACAAGUUCUUAUAUUCC